rnacentral:rRNA from 1 species
CACGUAGGGAGCAAGCGUUGUCCGGAUUUAUUGGGCGUAAAGAGCUCGUAGGUGGUUCGGUAAGUCAGGUGUGAAACCUCCAGCUCAACCUGGAGACGCCACUUGAUACUGCUGUGACUGGAGUCAGGUAGGGGAGAACGGAAUUCCGUGGUGUAGCGGUGAAAUGCGCAGAUAUCAGGAGGAACACCGGUGGCGAAGGCGGUUCUCUGGGCCUGUACUGACGCUGAGGAACGAAAGCGUGGGGAGCGAACAGG